GACGAACGCUGGCGGCGUGCUUAACACAUGCAAGUCGAACGGAAAGGCCUGCUUUCCCUUGUGUCUCGCGGGUACUGGGGUGGCGAACGGGUGAGUAACACGUGAGUGAUCUGCCCCCAACUUGGGUAUAAGCCUGGGAAACUGGGUCUAAUUCCCGAUCGGACUGCAGGGUGGUGCCGGUGGUGGAACACGAUUUUCUAGUGGUUGGGGAUGAGCUCGCGGCGGAUCAGCUUGUUGGUGGGGCAAAGGCCUACCAAGGCGACGACGGGUAGCUGGUCUGAGAGGAUGAGCAGCGACACUGGAACUGAGACACGGUUCAGACUCCGACGGCAGGCAGCAGUGGGGAAUAGUGAAAAAGGGGAGCAAGCCUGAUCCAGCCAUACCGAGUGCGUGAAGAAGGCCUUCGGCUUGUAAAGGUCUUCUGCUGUGGAAGAAGAGAAGAACGUCAAUACCGAAGGGUAGUGACGGUACUCGUAGAAGAAGCACCGGCUAACUACGUG
rnacentral:rRNA from 1 species